ensembl:snRNA U1 U1 spliceosomal RNA
AUAUUUACCUGCCAGGGGAAAUACCAUGAUCAUGAAGGUGGUUUUCCCUGGGAGAGGCUUAUCCAUUGCACUCUGGAUGUGCUGACCCCUGUAAUUUCCCCAAAUGCGGGCAAUUCAACUGCAAAAUUUGUGGUAGUGGGGGACUGCGUUCACACUCUCCCCUG